rnacentral:rRNA from 1 species
UACGUAGGGUGCAAGCGUUGUCCGGAAUUAUUGGGCGUAAAGAGCUCGUAGGCGGUCUGUCGCGUCGGCUGUGAAACCCUGAGGCUCAACCUCAGGCCUGCAGUCGAUACGGGCAGACUAGAGUGCGGUAGGGGAGACUGGAAUUCCUGGUGUAGCGGUGAAAUGCGCAGAUAUCAGGAGGAACACCGGUGGCGAAGGCGGGUCUCUGGGCCGAUACUGACGCUGAGGAGCGAAAGCGUGGGGAGCGAACAGG